UACUUUGCUUGAGAAGCCGGGUGAACUCCAAAACGCAUCUGAGAAGCUGAAGAGUUCGCCACCUACUUUGAAUGGGUACGUUGCUUUUCCAGGUACCUGCUUUUUCAGUUUAUACUAAAAUUAUCCUAUAUUUAGACUUUGUUCUCAGAAUAACCUAAUGAGAAAGACUUAAUACUUUCAUUUCUCUUGUUUCCCUCAUGUGCAACCUAGCUAUAUCUUUGGAUGCAUUAAAGGGUAUGUCAACUUUAUUGUUGACAAAGUAUGUACUUUUCUUAUUUGCGUUUCUUUGAACUUGGUGAUUUAGUUUCUUCUUCUUAUUUGCUCUCUUUUCCUUGUAUACUUUUAGGCUUCUGAACAAGAAAGAUCAACAUUUGUGUCUUCUUUGAUGCCACUACUAGCUGAGUAUUUAUUCAUUGCAACCACAAUUACAAGGUUUGGAACUAGCUGGCACAGGAAUUAUGAUCAAGAAUUUCGAUCCAUAAGUCCGAAUUGGAAAAGCUAAAUGAAACGGCGCCAUUUCACUGUUUGGGGAAUUGGCUGAUUUUACCGGUGAGUUUUUCUAUGUUUUUUACCCUCAAUGUUUGGGGAAUUGACCAAUUUUACUCAUAUUUUUAAGCCUCAAUGUUUGAAGCUGCCCCUGCCAUUUUUCUAUGUUGAGCCUCAAUGUUUGGAGUUUUUUGGCUGCAAACAGGGCCGAACAUUGGGUGCAUUUUUGCGCCUAGUCUUGGGGUGGCUUGCCGGACUAGGUACGUUUUUUAGCUGCAUUCUGGGGUUGGUUGAGCUAGAUUCUUGAGUGGGUUUUUUAUAUUAUAAAGGUUUAAUGUUUGGGUUUGUUUAGAUGCCAGGCAUUGCACAAAAACAAAAACAACCUUUGGAGUCCAUUGCAAUCAGUUCACACUCGACCUCAGCUGUUUGUACAAAACCAUUAUGUAUCUUUAAUAAACGAUGAAUGCGUUCCAAUCUUUUUCACUCUUGUGCCUCCAUUGGUUUGCAUUGCCCGAUCUUGAUUAUUGAUGUCAACGAUUAAUGUGUGGUCUUAUUGUCAUCAGGCAAAACGAACUAGUAUGGUCUAAUGUGUAUCAGAACCUGUUGGCUAUUGCUGUCAUCUUGAGAUGGGCUGUGAUAUCUAGAUGUCUU
rnacentral:lncRNA from 1 species